GCCCAAGCUGAGUCACCUGCUCACACUAACACUGCCGCCAUUUCAUAGGGUGAGGCACCUCAGGCAGGGUUUUUGUCCCUCUCUUAAAGCAAGUGUUCACAGAGUCAUGAGCAGAUGGAAGAUGCAGACGGAAGCACCUUCCCUGUCACCAUUGGUAUGUCUGGUUGAAACCUGCGACAAGAUCAUGACCUUCCCAAAGCCAUCUAGGAGUACAGAUAAAAAUGCACAGUGCAUGAAAACUGUGAAAUGGAGUCCCACCACCAGCUAUGGUGAGAAAAAGCCUUUGAACGCCACCUGGCUCUGACAUUCUUCCUUUAGGUGAUGAAAAUGAGCCCUGGAAGUCUUUGCAGGGGCCUCUGGGCAGGUAUGCCAGGGUGUGCAGGUGCACACCACUGACCCAGCCGUCCCUCUUCUAGGAAUCAGUCCUGAUGCAACUCUCAGCAACCUGUGCCGAGAUCUCUGUGGAAGCAUUGUUUGCAAGCGCAGAUAAUCAGAAACCACCCAAAAAAAUUAUAAAGAAGACAUUGGGCAAAUCAACAAUGGUAUGCUGAGAUUUGGAUUGCCAAAUUGACCUUGAAGUGAAGGAGGCAGAUUUGCUUGUAAUAACAGUGAAAGUGAUACAAGAUCUACUUGAAGUGCAGAAUAUCAUGUUCACCAUGAGACACUGGUAAAUAAUGUUUUCAUGUAAGUAUAUAUAUAUAAUCAUUAGGCUGA